GAUGAACGCUAGCGGCAGGCCUAAUACAUGCAAGUCGAACGUGAUUGUUGUAGCAAUAUGACAUGAAAGUGGCGCACGGGUGCGUAACACGUAUGCAAUCUACCUCUAAUAGGGGGAUAGCUUCGAGAAAUCGGAAUUAAUACCCCAUAACAUUAAGAAGUGGCAUCACUUUUUAAUCAAACCUCCAGGGAUUAGAGAUGAGCAUGCGGAACAUUAGCUAGAUGGUGAGGUAAUAGCUCACCAUGGCUACGAUGUUUAGGGGGUCUGAGAGGAUGAUCCCCCACACUGGUACUGAGACACGGACCAGACUCCUACGGGAGGCAGCAGUAGGGAAUAUUGGGCAAUGGAGGCAACUCUGACCCAGCCAUGCCGCGUGCAGGAUGACGGCCCUCUGGGUUGUAAACUGCUUUUAUACGGGAAGAAAAAAUACUACGUGUAGUAUACUGACGGUACCGUAAGAAUAAGGAUCGG
rnacentral:rRNA from 1 species